GCAUAUCAAUAAGCGGAGGAAAAGAAACCAACAGGGAUUGCCUCAGUAACGGCGAGUGAAGCGGCAACAGCUCAAAUUUGAAAUCUGGCUCCUUCGGGGUCCGAAUUGUAAUUUGUAGAGAGUGCUUCGGGCGAGACCUCGGUCUAAGUCCAUUGGAACAUGGUGUCAUAGAGGGUGAGAAUCCCGUAUGCGACCGUGGCUCGAGCCCAUGUGAAGCCUCUUCGACGAGUCGAGUUGUUUGGGAAUGCAGCUCAAAAUGGGUGGUAAAUUUCAUCUAAAGCUAAAUACUGGCUGGAGACCGAUAGCGCACAAGUAGAGUGAUCGAAAGACGAAAAGCACUUUGGAAAGAGAGUUAAACAGUACGUGAAAUUGUUGAAAGGGAAGCGCUUGCAACCAGACCUGCCCGUAGGCGAUCCGCCGCUGUUCUCAGCGGUGUACUCGCUCUGCGAUCAGGCCAGCAUCGGUUUCGGCGGUCGGAUAAAGGCCUUGGGAAUGUAGCUUCCCUUCGGGGGAGUCUUAUAGCCCUCGGUGCAAUGCGGCCAGCCGGGACCGAGGACCGCGCUUCGGCUAGGAUGCUGGCGUAAUGGUUGU
rnacentral:rRNA from 1 species